GACGAACUGUGCAAACGUUAUUCGGAAUCACUGGGCUUAAAGGGUGCGUAGGCGGUUGUCUAAGUAGGGUGUGAAAGCCCCCGGCUUAACCGGGGAAUGGCGCUCUAAACUGGACGGCUGGAGCAAGUCAGAGGUGUGUGGAACUUCCGGUGGAGCGGUGAAAUGUGUUGAUAUCGGAAGGAACGCCGGUGGCGAAAGCGACACACUGGGGCUUGACUGACGCUGAGGCACGAAAGCCAGGGGAGCGAACGGG
rnacentral:rRNA from 1 species